rnacentral:tRNA from 1 species
GGGCUUGUAGCUUAGCUAGGUAGAGCGUCGGGCUUUUAACCNGAUGGCCAGGGGUUCGAAUCCCCUCAGGCCCG